rnacentral:rRNA from 1 species
AGCAGUCGCCACGGGAAUACGGAGGGUGCAAGCGUUAAUCGGAAUUACUGGGCGUAAAGCGCACGCAGGCGGUCUGACAAGUCAGAUGUGAAAUCCCCGGGCUUAACCUGGGAACUGCAUUUGAAACUGUCAGGCUGGAGUCUUGUAGAGGGGGGUGGAAUUCCAGGUGUAGCGGUGAAAUGCGUAGAGAUCUGGAGGAAUACCGGUGGCGAAGGCGGCCCCCUGGACAAAGACUGACGCUCAGGUGCGAAAGCGUGGGGAGCAAACAGGAUUAGAUACCCGGGUAGUCCCUGUCUCUUAUAC